CAUUACGGCGCAAGGUUUGGUGGCCCUAUACACCCCCAACAAAGUUAGACGUGGCAGGGAAAGGUGUCUUCUUAACUAACUACAAAUACUCUUCACUCAGCACGAAAAAAGAACAAAAUGGAGCUUCAUGUCGUAUAAAAAGAAGUAGAAAUAGAACUUCUUGCCAUUUUUACCUUCAAAAAUUGAUUGAUUAACCUCUUGACGUGUAACUCAGGAACUCUGCGUAAUUUUGUGUUAAGAUGAGUAAGAGUAGCAGUGUGAGUGUGACAUUAGGGGAGACUCUCGGUCAACCUAAAAAGAAUGUUGUGGAGCUCUUUGGGUUCCCAGUGUCCAGGCUCCCGCCUACACCACAGUUUAUUUUCCUCUCAACGGCUGUCUUUAUUUUCUACAUUGCCUACGGCUACAUGCUUGAACUGAUAUUUACGUUGGAAGGCAUGCAGCCUCACGGCUGGUAUCUGACGUUGGUGCAGUUUGCUUUUUAUACAAUAUUUGCGCUCCUUCAGAUAAUUUUAUCUGGCAGUGCUCUUACUAGAAAAAUACCUUUGAAAACCUAUGUAAUAAUUGCUAUACUAACCGUUGGCACAAUGGGAUUUUCGAAUUCAUCUGUUGGGUAUCUUAACUACCCUACUCAGGUUAUAUUCAAGUCUUGCAAGUUGAUACCAGUCAUGAUUGGGUCAAUACUCAUUCUUGGAAAACGAUACUCAAUUUUGGAGGUCGUAGCGUGUCUGUGUAUGAGUUCAGGCUUAAUCUGGUUCACACUCGCAGAUUCCACAUUACAACCUGAUUUCUCUUUUACUGGGGUGAUGUUAGUAAGUCUAGCAUUGAUAUGUGAUGCUAUCAUUGGAAAUGUUCAAGAAGGAGCCAUCAGAAAGUACAGUGAAAGUACAGCACAUGUUGUUCUCUACUCGUAUAGCAUUGGCUUCUUCUUGAUUUUGAUUGGUCUUUUAUUAAUUGACCAGUUGGUACCUGCUGUCUCCUUUGCCUCUCAGUUUCCUUGGGAGGUGUAUGGGCGUGCAGUGGUACUCUCUGCUGCCGGGUUCUGUGGGGUGCAAGUAGUACUAACCUUGGUAACACUACACGGUGCCCUGGUGGCAGUCACUGUUACCACCUUCCGCAAGGCCCUCACUAUAUGCUUGUCCUUCCUCCUCUUCAGGAAGCCUUUCACUGUGCAAUAUGUAUGGGGUGGGCUGCUAGUUGUAGCUGGGAUAUAUCUAAAUAUUUAUGGAAAGAAGAGCAAGAGUUCUACUCCUUUCCUUGUGUCCAUUCAGCAGAUGUACAUGCAGAUCCAACAACAACUUGCUCCAAAGAUUAGCCAAAUCCACAAAGGUGAAGAUGAUGGUUUUAGAGUGAUAGCUGAUACUCAAACAACGCAAAUGAAAGACAAGCGAGCAUUCUUAGUACUCGUAGAUGUCCACGCCUCGAUAAUGACUGGGCGGUAGUUGAUACACUUCCAGUUGUUCGCAAAAAUUGUUUUUGGAGUUAGAGGGUAAUGCUAUUGGAGUGUGAGCAAGGUGACUUCUGUGCAGCUUGGGUGGGUACAAGUGAGCAUUGACCCUGCCCUCAGCAGCCCAGGUGUGUUGCAGGCACUCUGACUCUCCCUGCUUGGUGCCAUGCUUCUUAAUGUAUUGGUAAUUUGAGUUCUGGUGAUGUUCUGUAUUCAGGUCUGUGGGAAAACAUGAUUUACAGGGAAGACAUGUUAAUUCCAUGGCAAAAUAUCUAGUCCUAUUUCCUCAUUGUUGACAUUCCCAAAUGUAGUCAGAAUUAUUAUAAUAAUUUUAUGUAUU